CCUACGGGGCGCAGCAGUGGGGGAUAUUGCGCAAUGGGGGGAACCCUGAUGCAGCGACGCCGCGUGGGCGAUGGAGUGCUUCGGCAUGUAAAGCCCUAUCAGCAGGGAAGAAAAUGACGGUACCUGACUAAGAAGCCCCGGCUAAAUACGUGCCAGCAGCCGCGGUAAUACGUAUGGGGCAAGCGUUAUCCGGAUUUAUUGGGUUUAAAGGGUGCGUAGGCGGAAUGCCAAGUCAGCGGUAAAAUCGCGGGGCUCAACCUCGCUCCGCCGUUGAAACUGGCGUUCUUGAGUGGGCGAGAAGUAUG
rnacentral:rRNA from 1 species